rnacentral:rRNA from 1 species
CCUACGGGUGGCUGCAGUGGGGAAUCUUGGACAAUGGGCGCAAGCCUGAUCCAGCCAUGCCGCGUGGAUGAUGAAGGCCCUAGGGUUGUAAAAUCCUUUCGUCAGGGACGAUAAUGACGGUACCUGAAGAAGAAGCCCCGGCUAACUUCGUGCCAGCAGCCGCGGUAAUACGAAGGGGGCUAGCGUUGUUCGGAAUUACUGGGCGUAAAGCGCAUGUAGGCGGGUCGUUAAGUCGGGGGUGAAAGCCCAGAGCUCAACUCUGGAACUGCCUUCGA